rnacentral:rRNA from 1 species
UACGUAGGGGGCAAGCGUUAUCCGGAUUUACUGGGUGUAAAGGGGGCGCAGACGGCGAUGCAAGCCAGGAGUGAAAGCCCGGGGCCCAACCCCGGGACUGCUUUGGAAACUGCCAUGCUAGAGUGCUGGAGAGGUAAGCGGAAUUCCUAGUGUAGCGGUGAAAUGCGUAGAUAUUAGGAGGAACACCAGUGGCGAAGGCGGCCUGCUGGGCUUUUACUGACGCUGAGGCUCGAAAGUGUGGGUAUCAAACAGG